rnacentral:lncRNA from 1 species
AGAAAGAUGAAACUACUAAAACUUACAGGUUUUAUUUUUUUCUUGUUUUUUCUGACUGAAUCCCUAACCCUGCCCACACAACCUCGGGAUGUAGAGAACUUCAAUAGUACUCAAAAAUUUAUAGAAGAUAAUAUUGAAUACAUCACCAUCAUUGCAUUUGCUCAGUAUGUUCAGGAAGCAACCUUUGAAGAAAUGGAAAAGCUGGUGAAAGACAUGGUAGAAUACAAAGACAGAUGUAUGGCUGACAAGACGCUCCCAGAGUGUUCAAAAUUACCUAAGGAGCUUGCUGUGUAUUUGCAGUAUGUAUACAGUAUGGCCUAUAUGUUCAGGCAGAAGAGGAAGCCAUAACUUGAAACUGCACAUGAAAUUACAGAGCUAUUUAGGACACUUUGGCUGGAGGAUCACUUGAGCCCAGGAGUUCGAAUCUAGCCUGCACAACAUAUCAAGAUCCCAUUCCAAAGAAGAAGCAGAAAACAAGGAGAAGGAGAAGGAGGAGAAGGAGAAGGAGAAAGAGAAGGAGAAGGAGAAGAGGAAGAGGAAGAGGAAGAAGGAGAAGAAAAAGAAGAGGAAGAAGAAGAAGAAGGGGAGGAGGAGGAGGAAGAGAAGGAGGGGGGAAGGGAAGGGGAAGGGGAAGGGGAAGGAGAGGAGUAGGAGAAAGAGAAGGAGCUCUGUUGGUAAUGGUGGGAAAAUUAGUCAUUGUGUUUUCUCAGUGAGUACAGAAGCUUUACUUUACCAUGACUAAAAAUUGUCCUUUUCUUCUCUGUUGUAUAGAAUAAUGUUUUACAGGAAAAAAUAUGUGCUAUGGAGGGGCUGCCACAAAAGCAUAAUUUCUCACACUGCUGCAGUAAGGUUGAUGCUCAAAGAAGACACUGUUUCUUCUAUAACAAGAAAUCUGAUGUGGGAUUUCUGCCUCCUUUCCCUACCCUGGAUCCCGAAGAGAAAUGCCAGGCUUAUGAAAGUAACAGAGAAUCCCUUUUAAAUCACUUUUUAUAUGAAGUUGCCAGAAGGAACCCAUUUGUCUUCGCCCCUACACUUCUAACUGUUGCUGCUCAUUUUGAGGAGGUGGCCAAAUCAUGUUGUGAAGAACAAAACAAAGUCGACUGCUUUCAAACAAGGGCAAUACCUGUCACACAAUAUUUAAAAGCAUUUUCUUCUUAUCAAAAACAUGUCUGUGGGGCACUUUUGAAAUUUGGAACCAAAGUUGUACACUUUAUAAGAUGUUUCUUCCAACUAUGAUGGAUGCUGUGAAGGGGAUGUUGUGCAGUGCAUCCGUGACACGGUUUACUUUUGAAUACUCAAGGAGACAUCCAGACCUGUCUAUACCAGAGCUUUUAAGAAUUGUUCAAAUAUACAAAGAUCUCCUGAGAAAUUGCUGCAACACAGAAAACCCUCCAGGUUGUUACCGUUACGCGGAAGACAAAUUCAAUGAGACAACUGAGAAAAGCCUCAAGAUGGUACAACAAGAAUGUAAACAUUUCCAGAAUUUGGGGAAGGAUGGUUUGAAAUACCAUUACCUCAUCAGGCUCACGAAGAUAGCUCCCCAACUCUCCACUGAAGAACUGGUGUCUCUUGGCGAGAAAAUGGUGACAGCUUUCACUACUUGCUGCACGCUAAGUGAAGAGUUUGCCUGUGUUGAUAAUUUGACAUGUGUCAAUCUCAGAAUGAGGAGCUUCAGAGGAAGACAGACAGGUUUCUUGUCAACUUAGUGAAGCUGAAGCAUGAACUCACAGAUGAGGAGCUGCAGUCUUUGUUUACAAAUUUUGCAAAUGUAGUGGAUAAGUGCUGCAAAGCAGAGAGUCCUGAAGUCUGCUUUAAUGAAGAGAGUCCAAAAAUUGGCAACUGAAGCCAGCUGCUGGAGAUAUGUAAAGAAAAAAGCACCAAAGGGAAGGCUUCCUAUCUGUGUGGUGAUGAAUCGCAUUUCCUGAGAACAAAAUAAAAGGAUUUUUCUGUAACUGUCACCUGAAAUAAUAUAUUGCAGCAAGCAAUAAACACAACAUUUUGUAAAGUUAUUUUUCAGACCGAUGUCAUAAAUCAACCUAAUCACAAAAUCAAGCAAUCAUGAUUCAUUCAUUCCAUCAGCAUCUUUUGCUCACAUGGCUGCACCAUUCCCUAUCCAUGAAAGAUGGAAGUCUGAAUAGCAGCUGCGUAGGCACAGUGCUCUAAGAUGUCCUUGAAACUACCGGAAAGAAAACUGAGAAUUUUGGGCAUGAAACUUUACUGCUACAACUACUGCUACUACUAGUAGAUGACAUUGAAUGUUUUCAAUGUACCAAACAUUGUUCUAGCUAGUUUUCAUGCAUUAUUUCGUUUAAUCUAAUAACUCUAUGGGUAGGUAUUAUUUUCAUUUACAUUUUACAAACAGGAAAUCUAAG